CAGUAUUUGCAACGGGACAAGCGGCCACCAUAGAAGUUACUGGCGAUGUAUCUACCGAGUCUACAACUGAAGCUUUCACGACUAGUGCGACAACCGUGGUAGCUUUGGACGACAUAUCUACCGAGUCCGCCAAUGAAGCACUGACUGUCAAUCAAACAACGGAUCAAGUGUCAACCGAAGCAGUUUCCAGCAUUGCACCUACCGACCCAACCACUGAAGUAUUUUCAACCGGACAUGCCACAUCUACAGCAGUUACCGGCGAUGCAUCUACUGAGGCUACCACAGG